rnacentral:piRNA from 1 species
UAUGUAUCUAGCAGCCGUGGC